AUUGAACGCUGGCGGCAGGCUUAACACAUGCAAGUCGAGCGAGCGGCGGACGGGUGAGUAAUGUCUGGGAAUCUGCCUGAUGGAGGGGGAUAACUACUGGAAACGGUAGCUAAUACCGCAUACCAUCAGAUGUACCCAGAUGGGAUUAGCUGGUAGGUAGGGUAAUGGCUCACCUAGGCGACGAUCCCUAGCUGGUCUGAGAGGAUGACCAGCCACACUGGAACUGAUACACGGUCCAGACUCCUACGGGAGGCAGCAGUGGGGAAUAUUGCACAAUGGGCGCAAGCCUGAUGCAGCCAUGCCGCGUGUAUGAAGAAGGCCUUCGGGUUGUAAAGCACUUUCAGCGGGGAGGCGUUACUCGCAGAAGAAGCACCGGCUAACUCCGUGCCAGCAGCCGCGGUAAUAC
rnacentral:rRNA from 1 species